rnacentral:lncRNA from 1 species
UUUUUCUUUUUCUUUUUUUUUUCUUUUUCCUCCCAUUUUUCCUCGCCCUGUCCUUUACAUCUGAAAGGAGAUCAGUUCAAGAGUGACCAGGUGGGACGCCUCCUUUUCCUUAUUUAGUUUAUUAUUGUUUGGGGGAGUUUUCUUUCUAUCUUUUUUUAAUUCCUGUCCGGGGAGUUUUGUCCACCGCCUCCUACCACCUCCCCCUGUACCCCGCUCCUCCGCGCGGAGGAUGGUGUGGAAAUGGCUGGGCGCGCUGGUAGUGUUCCCUCUGCAAAUGAUCUAUUUGGUAACCAAAGCAGCCGUGGGAAUGGUGUUGCCCCCCAAGCUUCGGGACUUGUCGCGGGAGUCAGUCCUCAUCACCGGCGGUGGGAGAGGCAUCGGACGCCACCUCGCUCGGGAGUUCGCAGAGCGUGGCGCCAGAAAGGUACACGGCGUGGGGGCGGGGUGGCACUGCGACACCUGGAGUGGGCGCUGAGGGUAAAGGGACUCUGGCACGCAGGGAGGGGGAGGCAGUCGUGGGGGGUGUUCCCACCUGCUGCGGGUGCGGAAACCAGCGCCAACGAUCUGAAAGUCUCAAGCCACCCACUCCUUGCAUCACCUGGGACUGCGAAGCAAGUCGGUUUCAUCCUUCAUAGAUUUCCCGGGCACCGGACUGUGUUUUGGCAGGCCCUGAGUUGCUUGGCUCCCCUGGGAUUGGUAUCUCGCUGGCUAUUUACCCCUACCAACUACCAUACCUAGAAUACCCACCCAUUUUGCCGCAUGACUCUUUCUCUAAGGUGUAGUGCCCUCUCUCUCUCUUUGCCCGCACCCUGCCAAGCGCAGGGUGUGCGCGCGCCCCUAGGUAGAGCUGGAAGCCAAACCCCCUGCUAGCUUGCGCUUGGUAUUUUGCUUGGCAACUCGCUGCCUAGUCCCAAACAAGCUGAGAGGUUGCAGCUAGGCAGGGACGUGAGAUAGGGUGCUCGGUUCAGAUUUGUAAAGGAGAGAGUUGACGUGGAUGGUCUAGUCCGGCUGAAAGACUGGGAGGCCCAGGUGUUUAAAAUUCUGAAAGAGGGGUGAGGGGGUAGCCAGCCGCUGAUAAAGAGAGCCCUUGUCCUCACCUUCAACCUUGAUUCCCACCCCCGCCCUCUUCAUCGGAGGGGAUCCUUCUCAGCUGGAUUGGAAGGUGGCACUGUGCCCCUCUGACCACUGCCUCUUAUUAUGUGGGUGACACCAGCUCCCCAUGCUCCAGGUUUUGGAGACGUGGUGUUGCAGAGUACUGGAGGGAGAGCCAGCUGUCACCCAACUUGCAACUGCAGACCCGGCUGACUCACUCAGUGGCAAGAGCAAUGGAGAGGGAUUUGAGGCCGGCAGGCCGGUCUGUCUCCAGCCGGCCCGCGAAGACGAAGAACAAACUAGGGAAUUAGUUUGAAAUUUAAACUGUUGCUAAGGAGGGGGGGUGGGAGGACCAGGCUAGCCAGCUGAUCUGACAUGGAGCCGCAUACCUUGGGGAUUAGAGUAAAUAUGCUCUGUGGAAAGCCAAACCUUCAUGUAAUUCCAGGUUGCUUUUGUUUUGUUAAAUACUGCCCUGAGAUUUACAAUUCCUUCGGUGGCUGAGACUGAACUUUGGAGUCUGAACUAUCAUCCAAAACUGAUUGCCCAUUAACUCUUCCCUGGCCAAGCUGUUCUAGCAUGAACAGCUGGGGCCUGGGGUCCUCCAGCUGUCCAGGGCUCCUGAAUCUCCUUGGGUGGUUUGGACAGCUGUUUAACCUUGCCUUUGGAAGGGGAGUUCAGAAGUGUUUUUAACCCUUGGAGUUGCUGAAUUAAAAGGAAAUAUGGG